rnacentral:rRNA from 1 species
UACGUAGGGCCCAAGCGUUAAUCGGAAUUACUGGGCGUAAAGCGUGCGCAGGCGGAUGUGCAAGACCGAUGUGAAAUCCCCGGGCUUAACCUGGGAAUUUCAUUGGUGACUGCACGGCUAGAGUGUGUCAGAGGGGGGUAGAAUUCCACGUGUAGCAGUGAAAUGCGUAGAGAUGUGGAGGAAUACCGAUGGCGAAGGCAGCCCCCUGGGAUAACACUGACGCUCAUGCACGAAAGCGUGGGGAGCAAACAGG